CUGCAUCUUUGUGUUUUGGUUGUUGUUUGUUGUUUUGGUGCAAUACUGAGUGGUUUCAGCACGGUAAAGCAAUCCUCAGUGUCCGUAUUGGUUGCCCUGAUUUGGAGAAAGAUCUGCAGUGCUGGUGUUUUGGGACGGCAUGACCCAUUUGGGAGAUUUGGCAACAUGAGAUCAUGACAUCGCAUGGAUCUACU